rnacentral:rRNA from 1 species
CACGUAGGGUGCGAGCGUUGUCCGGAAUUAUUGGGCGUAAAGAGCUCGUAGGCGGUGCGUCGCGUCGGCCGUGAAAACCUGCAGCUUAACUGUGGGCUUGCGGUCGAUACGGGCAUCACUGGAGUUCGGCAGGGGAGACUGGAAUUCCUGGUGUAGCGGUGAAAUGCGCAGAUAUCAGGAGGAACACCGGUGGCGAAGGUGGGUCUCUGGGCCGAUACUGACGCUGAGGAGCGAAAGCGUGGGGAGCGAACAGG